rnacentral:lncRNA from 1 species
AGGGUAGAGAGAGAGGCAGAGAGUGGCGGUGGGAGCGAGUGAGCGAGCAAGCGAGGGAGGGAGGGGAAACGACAGAAGUCGUCUACAUGCGAGGGCGGAGAGACGGGCAGGAGGUGGUCGGAGCAAGAAGACACCCAGAGAGGAGAGUCGAGGACAAGGGAGAGCAGCUCGGAUGCGAGACGGGAGAGGCGUGGGCCCAGGUGUACGGAGAGAGAAGGACGAGCGAAGCAGAGAGGCCCACCGUCAACGCUGCUGGCGCCAUCCAAGAUGGCGGAGCUCAGGUUCUGACCGUGCGCUCGCAGCGCUAUGAGAGCCCGUGUGGACGGCUAGCGCCCGAUCCCACCGCCACUGCCGCCACCGCCGUUGCUCCGCUCCCAGCUGCUGUCACCAGCACCACCGGCCACCACCUGCGCAACCCACCCCUGCUGCGAUGGAAGAAGCACUCCUCAAUGCCUUGAUGAACGGAGCCCUGCUCGUCGUGUCUGUGGCCAUGCUGGCCGGCCUGUGCAUCCGUUGCGGAGGCCCCUGGAACCGCACUUCCAUCCCUCAAAACCUGCGUGACGGAGACGCGAACGAACAGUACCAGCCGACGCCGGGAUUCCGGGUUGUACGACCAGCACCCACGGUGAUGUACCAGCCGCCCAUCCGCAGCUCAGGGUCUGGACAGUCCUCCAACCAACUGUACGCCACCUCUCCACUGCAGGCGAAUCGUCACUCCUCCUUCACGCCGACGAACGACGGUCAGUCACCGGCACGUCGCCUCGCUGCCCUCUCUGUCCUCUCCGUCCCUUUCCCUCAUUUUCUGCUGUUUACUCGCUCGCUGACGUGGAUCUUGUUCCCUGCAGGAGAAAGUAUUCCCAGCUACGAGAAUCCUGGCUCCGAUCAAGAUGACUAUGUGAACAAAGACCCGGACGACAACCCGGACGACAACCCGGACAACUACAUAGAGGUGCUGCCGGACUCGGUGCCCAUCGUUUCCGUCAGUCUCUCGCAAAACAGCAUUCUGUCCGUGCAGAGCUCAGGUCACGAGGACUACGUGAACGUUCAGGAUGACAACUCUGACAACAACAGCGAGAACUACAUCAACAUGCCAGACCGCAAUGCCCCUGCCUUAACACCAGGGAUGUCGCACGAAAGCAUCGACAGCGAGGGCAACACCAGCGCCGACUACGUCAACACCAGCGUGUUCAUCGACGUCCCCGCCUCCAUCUGCUGAGACGAGAGCGAGCGAGGGGGGUGGGCCUCGAGCUGCAUGACAGUGUAGGGGUGUGUUUAGGCUUUUCUCGCACAGGCUGCAGGGUGGCAAACGGAGUUGCGUUUGGAACCACAGCAAGAUGCCCUGAGAUACCUUGGAAGGGUCACCACUGAGACCACGUUUCACCGAGAACAAAGCAGCCUUUCCCAAUACAACAGUACAUUUCACAGCUGACACAGAGGCUUCUGGCAACUACCCUUUUUAUUUUUAAAUCACAUGAAUUGCUGACGAGUCCUGAGAAUGUUUUAUGAUUUGUCACUUGAUUAUUACAAUGGGUCAUUUUCACCUUUUUUCUAUUUAAUGUUUAGUACCAUGUCAACAGAACAUUUUUGCUAUAAAUGUAAAUACCCUUGCGCUGAGUCAAAUAACUUUCAAGUUCAGACUGGUUUGAGCCCUUUACCUACAUUACCAGUGCUCCUUUGUAUUUAUGCGAUUAUCAUGUCAUUCCAGGAUUAACAUGUUGCAUACGUAUAUGUUUCAAAAGCACGCGUACAAAGCUGGGAGCUCUGGCUUUGUAUCGCGGGGAGGUGUGUCGAUGACCCCUGAUUGGCUCCGGUCGAAAAGCACACAAGGGUACGAACACUGAACACAGGUUGGGUUUUAGGACUGUUUUGUUAGGAUGUCAUUCGAAUUUUUAAAUAAACAUUUUCAUUGCGCCUGUUGGUUCCUGUGU